UACGUAGGGUGCAAGCGUUAAUCGGAAUUACUGGGCGUAAAGCGUGCGCAGGCGGUUAUAUAAGACAGAUGUGAAAUCCCCGGGCUCAACCUGGGAACUGCAUUUGUGACUGUAUAGCUAGAGUGCGGCAGAGGGGGAUGGAAUUCCGCGUGUAGCAGUGAAAUGCGUAGAUAUGCGGAGGAACACCAAUGGCGAAGGCAAUCCCCUGGGCCUGUACUGACGCUCAUGCACGAAAGCGUGGGGAGCAAACAGG
rnacentral:rRNA from 1 species